rnacentral:rRNA from 1 species
AGUGAACGCUGGCGGUAGGCCUAACACAUGCAAGUCGAACGGCAGCACAGUAAGAGCUUGCUCUUACGGGUGGCGAGUGGCGGACGGGUGAGGAAUACAUCGGAAUCUACUUUUUCGUGGGGGAUAACGUAGGGAAACUUACGCUAAUACCGCAUACGACCUACGGGUGAAAGCAGGGGAUCUUCGGACCUUGCGCGAUUGAAUGAGCCGAUGUCGGAUUAGCUAGUUGGCGGGGUAAAGGCCCUCCAAGGCGACGAUCCGUAGCUGGUCUGAGAGGAUGAUCAGCCACACUGGAACUGAGACACGGUCCAGACUCCUACGGGAAGCAGCAGUGGGGAAUAUUGGACAAUGGGCGCAAGCCUGAUCCAGCCAUACCGCGUGGGUGAAGAAGGCCUUCGGGUUGUAAAGCCCUUUUGUUGGGAAAGAAAAGCAGCAGGUUAAUACCCCGCUGUUCUGACGGUACCCAAAGAAUAAGCACCGGCUAACUUCGUG